AUUGAACGCUGGCGGCAGGCCUAACACAUGCAAGUCGAGCGAGCGGCGGACGGGUGAGUAAUGUCUGGGGACUGCCCGAUGGAGGGGGAUAACUACUGGAAACGGUAGCUAAUACCGCAUACUGUCAUAUUGCCCAUAUGGGAUUAGCUCGUAGGUAAGGUAAUGGCUUACCUAGGCGACGAUCCCUAGCUGGUCUGAGAGGAUGAUCAGCCACACUGGGACUGAGACACGGCCCAGACUCCUACGGAGGCAGCAGUGGGGAAUAUUGCACAAUGGGCGCAAGCCUGAUGCAGCCAUGCCGCGUGUGUGAAGAAGGCCUUAGGGUUGUAAAGUACUUUCAGCCGGGAGGCGUUACCGACAGAAGAAGCACCGGCUAACUCCGUGCCAGCAGCCGCGGUAAUAC
rnacentral:rRNA from 1 species